rnacentral:rRNA from 1 species
AGAACGAACGCUGGCGGCAGGCUUAACACAUGCAAGUCGAGCGCCUCGCAAGAGGAGCGGCAGACGGGUGAGUAACGCGUGGGAAUCUACCCAUCUCUACGGAACAACUCCGGGAAACUGGAGCUAAUACCGUAUACGUCCUUCGGAGAAGAUUAUCGGAGAUGGAUGAGCCGCCGUUGGAGUUAGCUAGUUGGUGGGGUAAGUGGCCGUACCAAGGCGUCGAUCCAUAGCUGGUCUGAGAGGAUGAUCAGCCACACUGGGACUGAGACACGGCCCAGACUCCUACGGGAGGCAGCAGUGGGGAAUAUUGGACAAUGGGCGAAAGCCUGAUCCAGCCAUGCCGCGUGAGUGAUGAAGGCCCUAGGGUUGUAAAGCUCUUUCAACGGUGAAGAUAAUGACGGUAACCGUAGAAGAAGCCCGGCUAACUUCGUGUCAGCAGCCGC